AGAAUGUGAUAGGGACUCCGAGUGCCCGUAUACGCGGGCUGUCCAGGUGUUUAAAAAUCAUCUGAAGAAAGGGCCGGGCAAGACCGGUGCCAGCCGCCGCGGUAAUACCGGCGGCUCGAGUGGUGGCCACUAUUAUUGGGCUUAAAGGGUCCGUAGCUGGACCGAUAAGUCUCUUGGGAAAUCCGCCGGCUCAACCGGCGGGCGUCUAAGGGAUACUGUUGGUCUAGGGACCGGGAGAGGUGAGAGGUACUCCGGGGGUAGGAGUGAAAUCCUGUAAUCCCCGGGGGACCACCGAUUGCGAAGGCAUCUCACCAGAACGGCUCCGACAGUGAGGGACGAAAGCUGGGGGAGCAAACCGGAUUAGAUACCCGGGUAGUCCCAGCCGUAAACUAUGCGCGUUAGGUGUCCUGGUGACCACGAGUCACCUGGGUGCCGAAGGGAAACCGUGAAACGUGCCGCCUGGGAAGUACGGUCGCAAGGCUGAAACUUAA
rnacentral:rRNA from 1 species